CGGGCCGGAUCGCGCUCUACCGUAGGCCUUGCCCUCGGCCGCUAAGGGCGUGCGGGCCUAAAUUGCGGCGGGGCCACACGACGGUGCGGGCCCCAGACUCGCCUCCGGGCAAGAUGGAGCCCCGGGCUCCCUUAGCGGGCUCGCGCCCCUGGAACCUAGACUGUCUGGGCUCGACCGUCGGUGCCUGGCCGAGCACGCGCUCCCGGGCCUGCCCGGCGCCUGUUCUCCACGUUGACCGGACCUUGGGUCACCGCAUGCUCUUCGCUUCAGUCCUGUCCCCGUGGGUAGUGACCCUCGCACGGGAGUGCCACCGGGCGCAUUCGAAGCGGAGCCGCUGGAGGGCGGCACGAGGGUCUUUUGUUCCUCGUCUACACCUACGUCUUUGGCAGACUUGGUACUGGAUUUCCAGGACUCCCUGUAACCUAAGAAAUGCACCUCGCCCUGGUGGUUGUUAGCGGGAUUACAACUGAUGUUGUUGGUUACUUCCCCAGCCAAAUGGAUGAAUUAAAUUAGACCUCUGAAUUUCCGAAUUG
rnacentral:lncRNA from 1 species